AUGGAUCAGAGGAGAGGGGCGAAGAUGGGGCGAGUCACCAUCUACCGGAACCGCGCUCUCGGACACGAACAUUUGAUGGAAGACUACUUCUCCGAGGUACCUACAUACCCUCCUCGUCUCUUCCGCAGAAGGUACCGAAUGCGGCGUAGUUUGUUUGUGAAGAUUGUCACCGAUUGUGAGGCCGCCUCAUAUUACUUUAAACGUCGUAGAUCCGCCGCCGGUAUCAUGGGGUUUAGUGCAUAUCAAAAGAUAUCGGCGGCAAUGCGGGUACUCGCUUAUGGCAUACCCGUGGAUUAUACCGACGAGUAUCUUCGCAUUGGGCAAGAUACAACCACGGAGUCAGUCCGUAGGUUUGCCAAGUUGGUCAUCCGGUUAUACGGUGAGCAGUAUCUUCGGGCACCAAACGAGGAAGAUACAAAGAGAUUAAUGGAAAUGAAUGAAAAAAGGGGAUGGCCGGGGAUGCUAGGUAGUCUUGAUUGCAUGCAUUGGAGGUGGAAAAAUUGCCCAAAGGUAUGA
rnacentral:rRNA from 1 species